GAACAAAAAUUGUUGCGAUAUAGCAUAUGAUUUGCCAUUUGAAUGACAUAAAAACUCAAUGUUGACGAUUUCGAACGGCAAUCAUCUAAAAAAUGGUGGAUUCAAGAUCGAAUGACUUCAUGUCUGUAUUGGAAUGAACAGUCUGUGAUAUUCGAAGGAUAGACAUAACGCCAUAUGAAUUAUUUGCACCCAAAAAAGUAAACGAUGGUGCUUAUUAUUAUCAUCUCAACUAACAGUAGUUGAUCAUUCGUGUUUCAUCUGUUUCCAGUGUUUGGGCUGGCUCGAAUGACAGUCAUUUGAAGCGCUUCAUGCGUUUGCGAGAUAAGUUUUUUCAUUAUUUCUGUGCAGUCGCAAAAAGUCAGUUCGCGACAUCAAAACGUGAAAAUACUGCUGCUUGUCAUCUUCAAUAGCCGUAUUUAGUGCAAAUAACUAGUCAAAGCCAUAGUAUGCAAGGCAAAGAGGGAGUACUGGAAAGGGAGUGAAAUAUACAAUAGGAUGGAUGCCAAAUAGCUGUCAAUUGAUGACUAUGUUGAUCGGAACUAUUAUUCUGGUGAAAUGGUGGUACUAACGAUUCAAUAUCGUACGGGAAUCACAGCCCUAGGAACCACGAGUCCCGAGAUUGUAGUUACAGGUAUUCCUAUCCCAAGGUUUGGAAAAUUUCCACGCGACCGGCACUAGGUGAUGGCCAAAUCUACUGGUUUCACAUAGCCGUCUUAGUCCCUGAAUCAGAUUCGAGAGCUAGACGGAUCGCAUGAUAUGCAACAUGAGGAGCCAAUGUUCGAUCUGCUUUGGUUCUAUCCCGAUGACCAUGGCGGCUGAACUACAUUGCCCCACAAUGCUGAUUACCUUUGGAAAUGUACAAUCAAUUAAACAAUCUGACGCAGAAAACACCAGCACCGCACAAACGUAAGAGAUUCUGUGAUGGAUCAACGUUGCCGCAAGAGUACACUGGUAGCAAUAGGUUUGUUCCAGUACCAGGAGAAACUGGAAGUACUCCGGAGAAAAUCGUUCCUGUAUUAUCUUCUUUUCUUUUCCUUCUUCUGGUAGCAAAUCGGAGUGAAAAGGAGCAAGAAUUUUUUGUUCCGGAGCAACAGGGAGUGACUUCCGUGUACUGGAACAAACCUAAUCAUUGUUAGCAGAAAGGAAACCACUCUUUUGCGCUCAAGCAAGAAACCAAGUCACCCAGCAAUUUUUAAGUUUACCGUAAAACUUGAAGGCACUGAGCUAGAUCAGCAACCUCCCGGUGCGAUUGUUAAAAGUCGAUCAACGAUCCAGUAGAAUUACGCACUAGACAAGAGAAUAUGUCCGGAAUUACAAAUUCUGACUCAUCAGAAAAAUAUCUUUAAAAAAGCACUAGCUCGGAAACGGUAUCAAUCCAAACUAUGAAAAGUUUCGACUGACUCCGACGCAAAUUCCGGAAACUUUUCGUUGAUUGCGCGAAUAUUAUAUUCUGGUACUGCUGGGUAAAUUUCACAUUGAAGAAUAAUUCCGUUGCUAGCUGCCAUGAUUCAGCAUCGAGAGAUAAGGCUAGUUUACAGUUCGGGAAAUGGAUCACGGGAUUUCGCACGGGAUUUGCGUCGGGAUUUGAUCAGGGAAAAUUUCCCGCUGAGAUCUCUCCAAACUGUCAAACCAAAAACUCUGCUGCUUCUUAAAAAUACAAACAGUAUCCAACUUGCAGCGAAUUGUAAACUUUAUAAAAAUACUAUUUUCCCCGUCGGAAACAAUUUGUGUUGAAUUGUUCCC